UUACACAUGCAGUCGAACGGUGAAGCCAAGCUUGCUUGGUGGAUCAGUGGCGAACGGGUGAGUAACACGUGAGCAACCUGCCCUGGACUCUGGGAUAAGCGCUGGAAACGGCGUCUAAUACUGGAUAUGAGCUCUCAUCGCAUGGUGGGGGUUGGAAAGAUUUUUCGGUCUGGGAUGGGCUCGCGGCCUAUCAGCUUGUUGGUGAGGUAAUGGCUCACCAAGGCGUCGACGGGUAGCCGGCCUGAGAGGGUGACCGGCCACACUGGGACUGAGACACGGCCCAGACUCCUACGGGAGGCAGCAGUGGGGAAUAUUGCACAAUGGGCGGAAGCCUGAUGCAGCAACGCCGCGUGAGGGAUGACGGCCUUCGGGUUGUAAACCUCUUUUAGCAGGGAAGAAGCGAGAGUGACGGUACCUGCAGAAAAAGCGCCGGCUAACUACGUGCCAGCAGCCGCGGUAAUACGUAGGGCGCAAGCGUUAUCCGGAAUUAUUGGGCGUAAAGAGCUCGUAGGCGGUUUGUCGCGUCUGCUGUGAAAUCCCGAGGCUCAACCUCGGGCCUGCAGUGGGUACGGGCAGACUAGAGUGCGGUAGGGGAGAUUGGAAUUCCUGGUGUAGCGGUGGAAUGCGCAGAUAUCAGGAGGAACACCGAUGGCGAAGGCAGAUCUCUGGGCCGUAACUGACGCUGAGGAGCGAAAGGGUGGGGAGCAAACAGGCUUAGAUACCCUGGUAGUCCACCCCGUAAACGUUGGGAACUAGUUGUGGGGACCAUUCCACGGUUUCCGUGACGCAGCUAACGCAUUAAGUUCCCCGCCUGGGGAGUACGGCCGCAAGGCUAAAACUCAAAGGAAUUGACGGGGACCCGCACAAGCGGCGGAGCAUGCGGAUUAAUUCGAUGCAACGCGAAGAACCUUACCAAGGCUUGACAUACACCAGAACACCGUAGAAAUACGGGACUCUUUGGACACUGGUGAACAGGUGGUGCAUGGUUGUCGUCAGCUCGUGUCGUGAGAUGUUGGGUUAAGUCCCGCAACGAGCGCAACCCUCGUUCUAUGUUGCCAGCACGUAAUGGUGGGAACUCAUGGGAUACUGCCGGGGUCAACUCGGAGGAAGGUGGGGAUGACGUCAAAUCAUCAUGCCCCUUAUGUCUUGGGCUUCACGCAUGCUACAAUGGCCGGUACAAAGGGCUGCAAUACCGUGAGGUGGAGCGAAUCCCAAAAAGCCGGUCCCAGUUCGGAUUGAGGUCUGCAACUCGACCUCAUGAAGUCGGAGUCGCUAGUAAUCGCAGAUCAGCAACGCUGCGGUGAAUACGUUCCCGGGUCUUGUACACACCGCCCGUCAAGUCAUGAAAGUCGGUAACACCUGAAGCCGGUGGCCCAACCCUUGUGGAGGAGCCG
rnacentral:rRNA from 1 species